GCCUACUCUCGCCUACAUUUCAGGCGAGGCAAGGCGCAUCUCAAACAAGCCUAAUGUUUGCCACAAAUCUCAAAUUAGACCACGCCCUCCUGAUCAUCAGUUCGGGCUUAAAAUCGACCUUAAAAUCUUCAAGUGUGUUGCCAGCCUAAAUUUAAGUUUGAAUCGAUCGAAGCUAGUCCAGCGUAAAUGACUCACUCACUCACUCACUCACUCAACUGAAUCAUUUCCUCGCGCAUUCAGCCAUGUGCUCAGCUCCAGGUACUUACUGCUUUUGCCAAUUGUAUGAAAUUAAUAAGUGAAAUAGAAAAAAAAGUGAAAAAUAAGAUCUUAAAUGUUUUCUUUUCUUCAGUUUGAAGAUGAAGCUGCUUUUACAUCGAAAAUACCCAACACUUAUUCAGGAAGAAUAUGGAGCAUGUACUCAAGGAGGAAAAAACAUUUUUUCAGAGGCCCAAAGUGAUAUGCAAUUUGGUGCAGAGGCCGAUAUUUAUAUGGCCAAAGGUGAACCUUUCCUUUAAGUGAGCUCAGUGAGCAUACAGCUUGUGUGCAAGAUGCAGGCCACAGUCAAGAGGGGUGACGAUGUGUGCCACAGAACCCGCACUGAUCGCCGCUGUUUGUAAGCAAAGCCAAGCAGAGAGA
rnacentral:lncRNA from 1 species